rnacentral:rRNA from 1 species
GGCAGGCCUAACACAUGCAAGUCGAGCGGUAACAGAUCCAGCUUGCUGGAUGCUGACGAGCGGCGGACGGGUGAGUAACGCAUAGGAAUUUACCCGAUAGUGGGGGAUAACCUGGGGAAACCCAGGCUAAUACCGCAUACGUCCUACGGGAGAAAGGGGGCUUUGGCUCCCGCUAUCGGAUGAGCCUAUGCCGGAUUAGCUGGUUGGUGAGGUAAUGGCCCACCAAGGCGACGAUCCGUAGCUGGUCUGAGAGGAUGAUCAGCCACAUCGGGACUGAGACACGGCCCGAACUCCUACGGGAGGCAGCAGUGGGGAAUAUUGGACAAUGGGCGCAAGCCUGAUCCAGCCAUGCCGCGUGUGUGAAGAAGGCCCUCGGGUUGUAAAGCACUUUCAGCGAGGAAGAACGCCUGGCGGUUAAUACCCGCCAGGAAAGACAUCACUCGCAGAAGAAGCACCGGCUAACUCCGUGCCAGCAGCCGCGGUAAUACGGAGGGUGCAAGCGUAAAUCGGAAUAACUGGGCUUAAAGCGCGCGUAGGUGGCUUGAUAAGCCGGUUGUGAAAGCCCCGGGCUCAACCUGGGAACGGCAUCCGGAACUGUC